UACGGGGGAUGCAAGCGUUAUCCGGAAUUACUGGGCGUAAAGCGUCCGUAGGUGGUUUUAAAAGUCUGUUGUCAAAGCGCGAGGCUUAACCUCGUACAGGCAGUGGAAACUAUAAGACUAGAGUGCGGUAGGGGUAGAGGGAAUUUCCAGUGUAGCAGUGAAAUGCGUAGAGAUCGGGAGGAACAUCUGUGGCGAAGGCGGCCAUCUGGACCAGCACUGACACUGAGGGACGAAAGCUAGGGGAGCGAAUGGG
rnacentral:rRNA from 1 species